rnacentral:rRNA from 1 species
UGGUGGAGUGAUUUGUCUGCCUAAUCGCGAUAACGAACGAGACCUUAACCUGCUAAAUAGCCCGCGUUGCUUUGGCAGCGCGCCGGCUUCUUAGAGGGACUAUCGGCUCAAGCCGAUGGAAGUUUGAGGCAAUAACA